rnacentral:rRNA from 1 species
UACAGAGGGUGCGAGCGUUAAUCGGAAUUACUGGGCGUAAAGCGCACGUAGUCGGCUUUGCAAGUCGGGUGUGAAAUCCCCGGGCUCAACCUGGGAACUGCAUCCGAGACUGCAUUGCUAGAGUAUGGGAGAGGGAAGCGGAAUUUCUGGUGUAGCGGUGAAAUGCGCAGAUAUCAGGAGGAACACCGGUGGCGAAGGCGGGUCUCUGGGCCGAUACUGACGCUGAGGAGCGAAAGCGUGGGGAGCGAACAGG